rnacentral:pre_miRNA from 1 species
CUCAGGGAGGGGAGGCCCCUCAGUCCAGAUUGUGAGAGGGCACAGGCCAGGCCGAGGGACCCCACCGGUGCAUG